rnacentral:rRNA from 1 species
GAUGAACGCUAGCUACAGGCUUAACACAUGCAAGUCGAGGGACCGGCGCACGGGUGAGUAACACGUAUCCCACCUGCCCUUUACUCGGGGAUAGCCUUUCGAAAGAAAGAUUAAUACCCGAAGUAAAGAAUGGGGAUGCGUUACGUUAGGUUGUUGGUGAGGUAACGGCUCACCAAGCCUUCGAUGGCUAGGGGUUGUGAGUGGAAGGUCCCCCGCAUUGGAACUGAGACACGGUCCAAACUGCUACGGGAGGCAGGAGUGAGGAAUAUUGGUCAAUGGGCGUUAGCCUGAACCAGCCAAGUAGUGUGAAGAAGGAAGGCUUUUGGGUCGUAAAUUUCUUUCAUAUAAGAAUAUGUAUUAUAUGAAUAAGGAUCGGCUAACUCCGUGCCAGCAGCCGCGGUAAUUC